rnacentral:rRNA from 1 species
UAAGAGUCGAACCUGCCCAGUGAUAUAUAUUUAACGGCCGCGGUACUCUGACCGUGCAAAGGUAGCAUAAUCAUUUGCCUUAUAAUUGAAGGCUUGCAUGAAUGGUUUGACGAGAACAAAGCUGUCUCUUUUUAAUUCUAUAAAACUUGAUUUUUAGGUGAAGAAGCCUAAAUAAAAUUGAAAGACAAGAAGACCCUAUCGAGCUUUAAAAGUUUUUAUUAAUACAUAAUAACUAAAAUAGAUUAAAUAUAAUAAAAGAUUUUAGUUGGGGCGACUAAGGAACAAAAAAGCUUCCACUUCUAAAUUAAAGCAGAUUGGCUGUGAUCCAAAAUUUUUGAUUAAAAGAAUUAGUUACCGUAGGGAUAACAGCAUAAUCUUUUUUGAGAGCUCUUAUCGAAAAAAAGGUUUGUGACCUCGAUGUUGGACUAGAAUAUCCUAAAUGAUGCAGAAGUCUUUAAAGGUUGGUCUGUUCGACC